rnacentral:rRNA from 1 species
CCUACGGGAGGCAGCAGUGGGGAAUAUUGCACAAUGGGGGAAACCCUGAUGCAGCGACGCCGCGUGAGUGAAGAAGGAUUUCGGUAUGUAAAGCUCUAUCAGCAGGGAAGAAAAUGACGGUACCUGAUUAAGAAGCCCCGGCUAACGACGGGCCAGCAGCCGCGGUAAUACGGAGGGGGCAAGCGUUAUCCGGAUUGACUGGGUGUAAAGGGAGCGUAGACGGCAGAACAAGUCGGGAGUGAAAUGCAGGGGCUUAACCCCGGAACUGCUUUGGAAACUGUGCAGCUAGUGUGCAGGAGCGGUAAGUGGAAUUCCUCGUGUAGCGGUGAUAUGCGUCGAUAUUAGGCGGAACACCCGUGGCGCAGGCGGCUUCCUGGACUGUACCUGACGUUGAGGCUCGACAGCGUGGGGCGCAAACCGGAUUAGAUACCCGGGUAGUC